UACGAAGGGGGCUAGCGUUGUUCGGAUUUACUGGGCGUAAAGCGCACGUAGGCGGAUCGUUAAGUCGGGGGUGAAAUCCUGGAGCUCAACUCCAGAACUGCCUUCGAUACUGGCGAUCUUGAGUCCGGAAGAGGUGAGUGGAACUCCUAGUGUAGAGGUGGAAUUCGUAGAUAUUAGGAAGAACACCAGUGGCGAAGGCGGCUCACUGGUCCGGUACUGACGCUGAGACGCGAAAGCGUGGGGAGCAAACAGG
rnacentral:rRNA from 1 species